rnacentral:rRNA from 1 species
CCUACGGGAGGCAGCAGUGGGGAAUUUUGGACAAUGGGCGCAAGCCUGAUCCAGCAAUGCCGCGUGCAGGAUGAAGGCCUUCGGGUUGUAAACUGCUUUUGUACGGAACGAAACGGUCUGCUCUAAUACAGUGGGCUAAUGACGGUACCGUAAGAAUAAGCACCGGCUAACUACGUGCCAGCAGCCGCGGUAAUACGUAGGGUGCGAGCGUUAAUCGGAAUUACUGGGCGUAAAGCGUGCGCAGGCGGUUAUAUAAGACAGAUGUGAAAUCCCCGGGCUCAACCUGGGACCUGCAUUUGUGACUGUAUAGCUAGAGUGCGGCAGAGGGGGGAUGGAAUUCCGCGUGUAGCAGUGAAAUGCGUAGAUAUGCGGAGGAACACCGAUGGCGAAGGCAAUCCCCUGGGCCUGCACUGACGCUCAUGCACGAAAGCGUGGGGAGCAAACAGGAUUAGAUACCCUGGUAGUCCACGCCCUAAACGAUGUCAACUGGUUGUUGGGUCUUCACUGACUCAGUAACGAAGCUAACGCGUGAAGUUGACCGCCUGGGGAGUACGGCCGCAAGGUUGAAACUCAAAGGAUUGACGG